CCUGACCAACAUGGUGAAACCCCGUCUCUACUAAAAAUACAAAAUUAGCCGGGCGUGGUGGCACAUGCCUGUAAUCCCAGCUACUCAGGAGGCUGAGGCUGGAGAAUCACUUGAACCCGGGAGGCGGAGGUUGCAGUGAGCCAAGAUGGUGCCAUUGCACUCCAGCCUGGGCGAGAGAGCGAAACUACGUCUCAAAAAAACAAAAACAAAACCCAGGCGAGGGCACGGAACCUUUGUGGAUAGCACGGAGGUGAACCUACUGUCACACACAGAACGGACAGCCCACACCCCAACACCAGUCAUUCCUCACUGCUGCCCUGGGACCAGGACGGAACGACGGCUACCUGGAGGCAGAGAGAGGGGCAAUGCCCCACGCAGCUCCCAUGGCCAGCAGAGCUCGCACCUUCCACCUCAUAACCCAGGCGUGUGCCUACUGAGAGGGAGACAAUGGCCCAGCACACAAGGACUGAGAGUGAGCCAUAGAAACAAUGGGGCUUGACCUGGAGGACACACGCAGGGCUGCAGCAAAGCCAAGGCCAAGGCCAGGGGUGAAGCAGCCUCUCCAGGAACCCCUUUCAGCCUCAAGCAAGGCUCUGAGGAGAGUGGCUGAGAUCCCAGGCUCUGCACGGGGAUACAGCCACUGGCCUGUGGGGGCUCCACGGUACUCCUGGGGCCACAUACUCAGCAGGCGGCCAGGGGCAAGCUGCAGCCAGAAGGCACGAGAGACAGCGGGGCAAGCAGUCAUGGGUUCUGCAGUGUGAAGAGGGAGCCUGACACAACCACAUCACCCCACCAACAAAUGGACAAUGGCAGACGGCGCCGGGAAGGCUUCCUAUGGAUGAUGGCGCAGAGCUUGAGGUGAAUGGGAAUGACCUGGUGAACGAGGCAGCUGGCUGGAGAUCACUUCCUACAGAGGGAGGGACAGGCUGAGCCAAGGCCCAGCGGCAGAAGAGGGUGCGGCAGGGGCAGUGGGGCCUGAGCUGCGGACUUUGAACCUGGACACUGCCUCAUCCCACUCUCUCUGUCCACUGCCUGGCUGCCAGGCCAGCUAUGAACCCCAGGGCAGGCCUCAUGGCUCCUUGGGCAGCUCCCCCACUCACACCACUGCCUGGCACAGAGCCAGUUCCAGGAUUGCUGGCCAAGGUUUCAACCAGAUGCUAAGGCUGGUCUACUCAUCUCCAUCUACCACUGCUGGGGCUGGCUGGGGCUAGACCCACCCUGCUGCACAGCCUUGGGUGCUACCUGCUCUGAGCCCAGGGUGCUUUGCCUCCCAGGGACGCAGAAGAGGUGACACAAACUCAUCUUCGGGAAGCCACAGGUAGAGGGCUGGCUGCUGUCCACCGCUCAACAGGCUGCAGCCCCCACAAGUAGAGGCCAUGCAGGACGAUGCUUAUUUUAUGGCUUUGGAUCCUGCCAUAUCUGGCUCCCACCCUGGCUCCACCUCUCACUGGCCAGGUGACCCUGGCAAGACACAGGCCCUCUGUGGGCCUGUGAGGUCCUGAGCCCAGUGCCCAGCACACAGGGCGGCAUCCCUGAAAGGAGCCAUCCCUCAACGAAGGGGCACAGGAGGAGCUGGAGUGGCCACACUCACUUCACAGAUGGGAAGCAAGAAGCAGAACAGACAGCAGGGAGGCCUCUCUGCAGCUGGAAGCUGGCCUCUUACC